rnacentral:rRNA from 1 species
UCGAGAAUCUUCCGCAAUGGGCGAAAGCCUGACGGAGCGACACCGCGUGCAGGACGAAGGCCCUCGGGUUGUAAACUGCUGUCACGCUCUAGGAAUGCCAUGUCGUUAAUAGCGGCAUGGUUGACCAAGGCGAAAGGAAGUGGCGGCUAACUCUGUGCCAGCAGCCGCGGUAAGACAGAGGCCACGAACGUUGUUCGGAAUCACUGGGCAUAAAGCGCACGUAGGCGGCUAGGUCCGUCCAAUGUGAAAGCCCCCGGCUCAACCGGGGAAUUGCAUCGGAUACAGCCUGGCUUGAGGACGGUUGGGGUGAGUGGAACUCCUGGUGGAGCGGUGAAAUGCGUAGAUAUCAGGAGGAACACCGGUGGCGAAAGCGGCUCACUGGACCGUAACUGACGCUGAGGUGCGAAAGCUAGGGGAGCAAACGGGAUUAGAUACCCUUGUAGUCCCUGAGCGGGCUGGCAAGGCGCAU